rnacentral:rRNA from 1 species
UACGUAGGGUGCGAGCGUUAAUCGGGAAUUACUGGGCGUAAAGCGUGCGCAGGCGGUUAUGUAAGACAGUUGUGAAAUCCCCGGGCUCAACCUGGGAAUUGCAUCUGUGACUGCAUAGCUAGAGUACGGUAGAGGGGAUGGAAUUCCGCGUGUAGCAGUGAAAUGCGUAGAUAUGCGGAGGAACACCGAUGGCGAAGGCAAUCCCCUGGACCUGUACUGACGCUCAUGCACGAAAGCGUGGGAGCAACAGG